UACGGGGGGGGCAAGCGUUGUUCGGAAUUACUGGGCGUAAAGGGCGCGGUAGGAGCGGUUCAGAACCAAGUCGAGUGUGAAAUUCCAGGGACUUAACUCUGGCACGCUUCGCUCGAUAACUGGUCGGCUAGAGUGUGGAAGAGGAUGCUGGAAUUCCCGGUGUAGCGGGUGAAAAUGCGUAGAUAUCGGGAGGAACACCAGUGGCGAAGGCGGGCAAUCUGGGCCAACACUGACGCUGACGGCGCGAAAGCUAGGGGGAGCAAACAGGGAUUAGCAAACCCUG
rnacentral:rRNA from 1 species